GAUGAACGCUGGCGGCGUGCCUAAUACAUGCAAGUCGAGCGAACAGACGAGAGUGCUUGCACUCUCUGACGUUAGCGGCGGACGGGUGAGUAACACGUGGGUAACCUACCUAUAAGACUGGGAUAACUUCGGGAAACCGGAGCUAAUACCGGAUAAUAUUUAGCUUCGCAUGAAGCAAUAGUGAAAGACGGUUCUGCUGUCACUUAUAGAUGGACCCGCGGUGUAUUAGCUAGUUGGUGAGGUAACGGCUCACCAAGGCAACGAUACAUAGCCGACCUGAGAGGGUGAUCGGCCACACUGGGACUGAGACACGGCCCAGACUCCUAAGGGAGGCAGCAGUAGGGAAUCUUCCGCAAUGCACGAAAGUCUGACGGAGCAAUGCCGCGUGAGUGAAGAAGGUUUUCGGAUCGUAAAACUCUGUUGUAAGGGAAGAACAAGUACGUUAGUAACUGAACGUACCUUGACGGUACCUUACCAGAAAGCCACGGCUAACUACGUG
rnacentral:rRNA from 1 species